AAUGAACGUUGGCGGCGUGGAUUAGGCAUGCAAGUCGUGCGGAAAGGCCCUUCGGGGUACUCGAGCGGCGAAAGGGAGAGUAACGCGUGGAUUAUCUACCCCCAGGACUGGGAUAGCCGCGGGAAACUGCGGGUAAUACCGGAUAACGUCUGCGGACCAAAGGUGUAAGUCCGCCUGGGGAUGAGUCCGCGUCCUAUUAGCUAGUUGGUGGGGUAACGGCCUACCAAGGCAACGAUGGGUACUGGGUGUGAGAGCACGACCCAGCUCACUGGGACUGAGACACUGCCCAGACACCUACGGGUGGCAG
rnacentral:rRNA from 1 species